UACGGAGGAUCCGAGCGUUAUCCGGAUUUACUGGGUUUAAAGGGUGCGUAGGCGGAUUGAUAAGUCAGAGGUGAAAUCCAACAGCUUAACUGUUGAACUGCCUUUGAUACUGUCAGUCUUGAGUAUAGUUGGAGUGGAUGGAAUUUGUCAUGUAGCGGUGAAAUGCUUAGAUAUGACAAAGAACACCAAUCGCGAAGGCAGUUCACUAAACUAUAACUGACGCUGAGGCACGAAAGCGUGGGGAUCAAACAGG
rnacentral:rRNA from 1 species